UACGAGUGCCCCAAGCGUUAUCCGGAAUUAUUGGGCGUAAAGGGUGUGUAGGUGGUCUUGUUAGUCCUCUGUGAAAUUCUUCGGCUUAACCGGGGGUCCGCAGGGGAAACGGCAGGACUAGAGGAUGCGAGGGGUGUGCGGAACUCAUGGUGUAGGGGUGAAAUCCGUUGAUAUCAUGGGGAACACCAAAAGCGAAGGCAGCACACUGGCGCACUCCUGACACUGAAACACGAAAGCGUGGGUAGCGAAUGGG
rnacentral:rRNA from 1 species